rnacentral:rRNA from 1 species
UUCAAGUGAAGAGUUUGAUCCUGGCUCAGAUUGAACGCUGGCGGCGUGCUUAACACAUGCAAGUCGAGCGGCAGCGCGGGAGCAAUCCUGGCGGCGAGCGGCGAACGGGUGA